GUGAGUAGUUCAGAGUUUGAUCCUGGCUCAGGAUGAACGCUAGCGACAGGCCUAACACAUGCAAGUCGAGGGGCAUCAGGGUUGAAGCUUGCUUCAACUGCUGGCGACCGGCGCACGGGUGAGUAACACGUAUGCAACCUGCCCGUCACAGGGGGAUAAUCAGGGGAAACUCUGUCUAAUACCCCAUAUAAUCAUUAAAUCGCAUGAUGUGAUGAUGAAAGCUAUGGUGGUGACGGAUGGGCAUGCGGCGCAUUAGCUAGUUGGCGGGGUAACGGCCCACCAAGGCUACGAUGCGUAGGGGUUCUGAGAGGAAGGUCCCCCACACUGGUACUGAGACACGGACCAG
rnacentral:rRNA from 1 species